rnacentral:lncRNA from 1 species
AAAAACCUUAUAAAUUGAUAAAAAAAAGCUAUUUAAUUACAAGCAAAUGAGAAAAAAUAUGGCUCAAACUCUUCAGUUUGUUUAUGCUUUCAUAAUCUUUCUUUUUAUAUUUCUUCUUGCAGUCAAUGGGGGUAUGUGAUUUUUCAAACCAUUUUCAACUUUAACAAAUUAUAUCAGUUUUUUGUCAAAAGAAAAUAUUAUAUCAUUUUUUUAUAACAUCCCUUUUAUCUUAUUGGACAUUGCAGCUAUACCUUGUGUUACUGACGAUGAUUGUCCAAAGGAGAUUCCCCCUGAAUAUUAUUAUAAGUGCAUGAAUAAGAUUUGUAUACUUAUUAAUUUAAUGUAAUAUUGAUCAAUGGAAAAAAAAUCGAAAUUUAUAUGCCGAAAACCAUAGUUAUGUGUUCUUUCACGUAUGUGUUCGUUUCCUAUGGCAAUUAUCGUUUCAUAUAUCAACUUAAAAUAAAUGGAUAAUGUAACACUACAAAUAUGAUGGAUGUUGACACGCCAAAAGCUCUCUUUUCUCUCUGAAAACAGCUUUCUUCCUCAACCACCUCCUCCACCCUUAAUCCAAAUAUUAGCUUCACGAUGUAGAUCCUGGCUGAUGGUGGUGUGAUGAGCGACAGUGGUCCUCCAAACCACCACGUUUCAUUGUCCUCACCUGUUGAUGUUCCUCUCCGCGCCGGAAAGUUGUUACUGUUGCGGAUUGUCUUUCGGCGGAUUGUUGCUGUUUUCCAGCAGGUGUGGUGGUGGUGGUGGAUGCGACGAUUAUGAGUUGAGGGGGUGUGGUGGUGAGGUGUUGAUGUAGCGGUGUUGGAUCUGGCUCCGUCAGGGUGUGGUUGAUGUCGUGUGUGAUUGGCUUUCGACGGUACAAGAUUCUCUGACCGCUUUCAAAUCUGUUGAGAUUUGCUGCUUUCUUUUUUGAGUCCUUGUUGGUUCCCAAAUCUGUUGAGAUUUGCAGUUCUCUUUGUAUCUGAUUGACUUAUUUCACGUCGGUGUUGAUUGUUUUGGAGGCGAACUACGAGCCAAAACUUGU